rnacentral:rRNA from 1 species
GAUGAACGCUAGCGGCAGGCUUAACACAUGCAAGUCGAGGGGCAACACGGGUAGCAAUACCUGGUGGCGACCGGCGCAAGGGUGCGUAACGCGUGAGCAACAUACCCUAUACAGGGGGAUAAUCCAGGGAAACUUGGUCUAAUAUCCCAUAGGAUUUACAGAUGUCAUCAUCUAUAAAUUAAAGCUUCGGUGGUAUAGGAUUGGCUCGCGUGACAUUAGCUAGAUGGUGGGGUAACGGCCUACCAUGGCCAUGAUGUCUAGGGGUUCUGAGAGGAAGACCCCCCACACUGGGACUGAGACACGGCCCAGACUCCUACGGGAGGCAGCAGUGAGGAAUAUUGGACAAUGGAUGGAAAUCUGAUCCAGCCAUGCCGCGUGCAGGAAGACGGCCCUAUGGGUUGUAAACUGCUUUUAUAUGGGAGCAAUAAGGUCUACGCGUAGACCGAUGAGAGUACCAUAUGAAUAAGCAUCGGCU